CCUAAAGAAAGACAUGCAAUAGGCAGAUUUAGUUCUUGCAUAAUGUAUGUUUGAAAUAUAUGAUUAUAUCCUAAAGAUCUCGGUUCCCGUCAAUAUUCGCAUAUAUAGGACUAUAAUGUCUGAAUUAUGACCCAUGAUUGUACGAAAAAAUCGCGAUUGAUUUAAGCUUAGAGGUCACAAUUUUUAUCUGAUUUUAAAAACCAUUUAAAUAUAUCAAUGUGACAUCCUAUUGAUGGUUGAGUUCGAAUUUCCUGAUAAUCAGACCGAAACUGCCUGACAAAAUGACCGCUCCUUGUAUGAAAGUAUGUAAUACCAAGGUUGUGUGGACCCUCUAGAGGUAACAAUUUUUAUAUGAUUUUGAUGAAACUUAAAAUAUAUGUUUAUGUCCGAAAGAUCUUGGUUCCUUUCGAUCUUUGCGCAUAUCGAAUUGUAACUUCCUGGAUUAUGGCCCCUGAUUUUACGAAAAAUCACGUUUUUAGCUAGAGGACACUUUUUAUAAACUUAAACUAUAUUUUUAUAUCCCACAGAUCUUGGUUCCUUUGGAAAUUCACACAUAUUAGAUUGUAACUUCCUGGAUUAUGGCCCCUGAUUGUAUGAUAAAUUGCUUUUUUUUAGCUUGUUCUCUGUCCAUCUCUUGCAUAUUUCUGAGUGGGAGUCACGGUGGGUAAGACGCUAGCUCGCUAGUCUGGAGGAUGGGUGUAUUAUCCAUGCAUUGGCCGAGAAAGUUCAUCUUGAUUUUCCAGCAUGGUUCCCCCCUUGUCAGUGGUGCAGGACGGAGGGCCUGACAAGGACAGCUGUCUAGUCAUUCGGAUUGGACAAAAAACCAAGGUCCUGUGUAUACAUUGACGUGCAUGUAAAAGAUCCCCCUUGGCAUUUCGAAUUUGAUAUAAGAGUAGGCCAUAGUGCCACUGUCCGGGCAAAAUUUCCCUCUUAGCACCUUGUACUAUGGCAUAUGCCUGUCUUCAUUAUCCCGGUUGGAGCAGAAUGGUAAAACGUUAAACCCUAUUUCAUUUCAUUUCAUUUAUUUCUGAUCAUUGUAGAUAUAUCAUGUUAUUAGAUAAAAAUAAGUUCAGAAGGUGGAACAGAUUCUCGAUACGGUACACCAUACCUUUAAAUCCAAACAGCAGUGAUACCUUUAUUACAUGUAUAUAGAUUUAUCCGCACUGUUUAAAGCUACAUUCCCAGAAAAAGAAUGAUGAUUGAACUUCUUCAGAGAUGACAUCCAUCAGAGACAGUUGAAUGAAUUGAUUUAUUAUAGUAAAAUUUAAAAAUGGAAACAAUGAGAAACUUUAUUGAAAGACAAAUUUUCAAAAACUGUGCCUCUGAGAAUUCAGAAAUUGUUAUCCCUCAAUAUUCAAUUAAUAAUCCAGGAAGGUUUAAAAAGGGAUCCAGUUUAAAUGUAUUCUCUAUGUUUAAAGUGUAUGCUGACUCCUUUCCUACACCGAUAGUUACACCCACAGCUACAGAUAGAAUGGAAAGGAAUGGGACAAAUACAGAGAUAUCUUCUGCUAUAGUAACGGAGAUGGAAGUUAAUGAUUACAUAAGUAACGAAACUGGAAAAGAUAGACUUAGAAAUGUGUUUACAAAAGAUUUGUAUGGUGAAUAUCCCUUUGAGUUCAAAUUGGUUACUUACGCUACGAUUCAGGCUGGUGUCGUGAGUUUUAUUCUGGCGAGUUACCUGGCUUCAAAAAAUUAUAAAGAGGAAUUUGCUCGUAAACAUCAAGCAACUGUUUUUUCUUCAAGGUUUCAAGCAAUGAGAAGAUUUAAUGAUGCUAUAAUGGUUGAAGGUAUAAGAGAAGGAUCAAGAAUUGCACUUCGAUCGACAGUAUUUACUGGUUUAUUUAUAGGAACUUCACAAGCUAUAGCUGUAUAUAGAAACAAAUCAUCCCCUUUAGAAUAUAUAAUUGGCUGUGUUGUGACUUGUGGGAUUUUAAGGGCGUCCAUGGGUCUUAAAGGUAUGGUUGCUGGUGGUGCGUUUGGUGCAGUUGUUGGAUCUGUGGCAGGUUGUGCAUUAUAUGGAAUUCUUUAUGCUUUGAAUGAAACACAAGAAAAUAGACAUCACUGGCAAGUGCAUAAACUUCUAACAGAAGAAAAGGAGAAUAAAGGAUUGCUACCAGCUGAACAUUUGUAUCAGAACUGAACUAGAUAUAUGACAUUUAUGUGGAUGUUUAGAGUGAAUUAUGAAAUUAGACAGAUGUUAAUUUAAACUCUAUUUCGAUAUAUACUGUUAGUAUGACAAAUGUUAAUACAAGAAGAUUUAUAAGCUAAAAGAUAUUACACCUAUGAAGAAUAAUUCAUUCAGAAUUAUGUGAAAAUAAAAGGGCUCCAUUUAGAAACUGGUGUGCUGUAGGUGAUUUCAAACUUCAGAAAUAUAAAUCAUUAAUAAUGAAAUAAACUUUACAUACUGUAAUUCAGUUUCAGUUCUCUAAUUUUUCGUAUGCAAACAUGAAUUUUUUGGUGGAUGGAGGAGAGAUAACAUCUGCCGGUCAAAUAGCUGAUAAAAGCCGACUAGAAAUAGUAUAUAACUUAGAUUUUUUGAUCAAGAUGUAUUAACAAAUAUUUUGUGAAGAAGAUACACUAUCACAUACCUGCAUUUCAAUGAAAUCGACAUGUGAGUCCAAUAUUUCAGUAAUGUACCAUUGACAAGUUGCCCGUAGUAUUAUUUGAUAUAAUGGUAUGCUAACAUCAAAGGAUGGCGUCGCAUCUAUAUUUUAAUUUGAGAUAAAGUACAUGUAUGUGCUGUAUAAAUUAUGUAUUUUUACUUAGGCUUUUUCACACAUAUCUGUUUUCAAAUAUAGAACUGUAUUGAAUAGUAAUAAAUUCAAUAAUUUUGUAUCCAUAAAAUUGUACCCAGUGUUAAUAUGUUCAAUUACUAAAUGCUCAUGAAAGAAGUUGAACGAAUUAAAACAGUUUAUUGUAAAUUGAAUGCGGUCUGUAUCCGCCAUAGUACGGUUAAUAUAGAGUUACUUCCCUUGAAUUGCAAGUCUUUUACGAAUUCGCGAUAUCGUUGUUCUGACAAUUAUUUCCACUGCCACACAAUAAACUAAAAUACAUAUAUGCUUUGAAACAAAGCUUUGACUUUUGUGUACUGCCGACGCUAUAACUCUGUUUUAUUGUAUCUUCCAGUUUCGAUGAGGCAAAUUUUAUUUUCAUAUUUAAUUAUAAUUACGCACGGUAGUUAAAUUUUUACAAACAAAUUGUAUUUGCACACACCUUUAAAUAAAUUGAAAUUGCUCUAGAUGAGUCUAAACGGCGGUUAUCUGGUCUUCCACGGAUCUUCCGGAAGGUUCUCCACGCAGACAUUACCCGCAGGCCAAACAACACACUUAUCCCUCAUAUACCCAAGCAUACAAUUAAUCUAAAAUUCAAAAUCUCCCCAUUCAUAUCAUUGUCUUUAUCAGAAAUUGGUGCUAAAUAUUUGAAUUUUUGUUCUUGCUCUUUUAGGGCAUAUGUUUGUUUGAUCAGUAUACAAUACUACAUAGGAGUCUGGCGGAGUCGAAUGUGUCCAGAGAUACUAUUUGCAAGGCAAUAAAGGGUAUCUUUGGAUGGAAACAAUCGGUUAAAAGUACUAUUUUUGUUCAAUUUUCACUUUCCCACUAUAACAUAACGCGAAUCUGCAUACAUUCAUUAUAACCAAUAAUUUGCUCUUUAGAGUGUUCGAUAUUUGCAUCUAUAGGAAUUCAUCUUAAUAUACACAUUCAUUCAUUUAUAACGUUAAUAUAGCUCUCUGUAAUAGAGCAAGCUACCGACAGCAAAGUUUUGUGUAUGCAAUCAGAAAACCAGAAACAAUUUAGGGCAUUACGGACUCAUUGUAUCAUAACGACCAAGUUAGAUACACAGCGAAUCGGGUUUCACUAUUUAGAUGUAGAAUCUAAUAAUACAAAACAGAAACAAAAUGUAACAUUUUAUCUUGCCCUAAACCCUUUUCACUUUUCUUCCUUUUUUGUAAGCAUAACCUAGUUUCAUGUUUGAUUAAUUUUUUCUUCUCGCUUUAUUUGUCACGACGAUAAGUGUUUGUCAAAUAUAAUAAAUGUGAACUGGUGCUUAGUAUAUAU